rnacentral:misc_RNA from 1 species
AUCUCGAUAAAAUUUAUAUGUAACCACAUGAUGAACAUCAGCUUUUCAUUAGAUUAAAAAUUAUCAAAAUCGACACACCCAGUAAAAAGUUAUUGCGGAUUUUCGAGAGUUUCCCUCGAUUUCUCUGGGAUCCCAUCAUCAGAUCCUGGUUUCCUUAUCAUGGUACUAAACUAGAGAUAUCCCCUUUCUAACAAAAAAAAGAAUUAUCCAAAUCGGUAUAUCCAGUAGAAAGUUAUGCGGUAUAAUACAAUGUAGAUCGACAAUAAUUGUGUUUGCUCGCAAACGAAAAAAAAACCGACUUCAAUUACAUCGACGAGUAAUACAACGUAUAUCGACG